rnacentral:lncRNA from 1 species
CGAAAUUUUACGUGGUUCAACUACUAUCCUCUAGAAUAGUAGCCUAAUCAACGUCCAAUACCAACUAAUAUUGGAGACUCACUUUUAUUAAACUCUUCCAAUUACAAUACAAGUUCCAAUAAUUUGAACACCUUUUUCCCUAUGCACCUAUGCACUCUUAAGCACCUAUGCUUUCCACAAAACUUGACUAUAAUAAGUUAUCAAUUCAAACAUGAUUAAUCACAAUAAAGUAUUGAUUGAGAUAUCAAAAAUAUAAGAUACACACUAAAGGUCUAAUGAUCAAGCAAUGUAUCGUUUACCAACUUAAGGCUCUAGUAUGAAAUGAUAUGCAAGAAGAAUAUUACCAGAAUAUUUUCUAUUCGUUUUUCGUAGCUGCAAUCAAUGUCCAUCUCAGUGAAAAAUAAUUUCAUAGCUUGUAUGCGAUAAGUUAUUGUGUAUGUUUUUCGUAUGUAAAUAUGUUACAGGGCUCAGUUUAUAUAGACCACUUCUACAAUAUUAGCAUUGCAAAUGUUUGCUGCUGUGAUAUGCUGAUUAAAACACUUUGCACAAAUCUUGCCGUUCAAUAUCAAUCAUGAUCUACUCAGCUUGAUU